rnacentral:lncRNA from 1 species
GAUGUUUCCCGGGAUAUUUUGCUCUCCCCUAGAGGACUGACACACCUGAUAACGCUGCUGUGCUAUGUUUUCCAGGUCCAGUUUGGCCACGCUGGGGCUUGUGCCAACCAGGCUUCUGAAACGGCAGUAGCCAAGAACCAGGCCUUGAAGGAAGCGGGAGUGUUUGUGCCCCGAAGCUUUGAUGAGCUCGGAGAAAUCAUUCAGUAAGGAGUGGGCAGGAUGUGGUCUCCCCACCCUUUCCUGAUCCCUUCUGAGGACACCCCCCCCACCACGGGGCCUCUGGAUACUCUUAGCUGUUCAUUUGCUCUGAUGCACUGUAGGCAAAACCAACUCCUUGACUUUUGUUUUAUUUUAGUUUUAAAAGCACCAGGUCAAGGCCAGUUGGGCUGGUGUUAAAACUCAUUUGGUUUCUGAGGCUGGUGUUGGUGGCCGUUAAGGGCUUGGAUGUGUUUAGAAAGUGUCAUUUUAGGCAGGCAACAGUGGCAUAUACCUUUAAUCCUAGUACUCAGGAGGCAGAGGCAAGCGGAUGUCUGUGAGUUCCAGGACAGCCAGGACUACACAGAGAAACCUUGUCUUAAAAAAUAAACAACAGGGUUGGGGAUUUAGCUCAGCGGUAGAGCACUUGCCUAGCAAGCGCAAGGCCCUGGGUUCGAUCCCCAGCUCUGAAA